CCUCAAUAACACUGAGGUCCCUGUUCAGUCUGCACAAUCUUCCGUCAUGGAAAGCCUCAUUCUAGAACGGCGGAAGACAGCAGCCCAGGAUAUUGAGCCUGUUCAAGACUGGCUUCCGUAUCUGCAAGACCCGUGUAACCCAAAUCCUUGCCACAGUGAUGCAGUCUGUGUGAAUACGAAAGGGAAAGCAAGCUGCAGCUACCACUGACCUCUCCCGUCAGCCUCGAUUUUCUUCUGAACUCAGUAACACAAGCGAUAAGGACUCAGAGCUACGAUUCCCCCAAGAAGAUCGGGGCCACUCAGUUUUCAGGUGCCCAUCAGCACAAGCCUUCUUCUUUACGGGUGAGAGAUGUCAGUCAAUGCAGGUCCAUGGAAACAUGCUGGGACUGACAGUUAGUGGAAUUGCUGGAACCAUUGUCUUACCCAUCGUCCUCAUUUCCAUGAUGAGUAGAAGAUAAAGAGCUGUAGGGGGAUAAAUCUCAGCCCCGUAGAGUCCAGAAGACAUCAGUGUGCAGUGAAAAAUGUUAAAGUACAACUUGUAAAAGAGCAGUCAGCAUAUGAAUGUGGAAAGCAAAACAAAUCAUCUUCUAACAGUUUCUGCCUUAACAUGCCCGAUUAUCUGGCUGGACCUGACCAUGGGCAAAGGGGAGUUGCAGAUCCAUUUACCUUCUGCAAGCUGCUCCAGCCAGGGGAGUCCCCCACAAAAGUUUUCCAGCUCAAAAAUUGCCCAGGGUUAUAUAAUGAAUGACAAAAAUUCCCAUGAAGAUGAAUAAAAUUGCAGGCCCUGCUUGGUAGUUGAUGUGCAAGAGAGAGAAACAGGAAUGAAGCCACGUUGCUGCUCCUUUCUCAUCUGCAAGAUUGGUGAGAGGAGCUGCCAUCACAUGCAAGCAUGUCUGCCCUCAAGUCCCCCCCUCCCUUCAUUUCUCUUCUCUCCAGACCCCUUCCCCUCUUAAUGCUAUACAAAGCUCCCAUGCAGAGGGACAUCACACGAAAGCAUCCAGGCAAGUCCCAGUGAAGUCCUCUCCUGCCCAUAAUUUGGUGGUGCUGCUCAGCAAGCUGCCCCUACCCUGGAAUUACUUUACCCUCAGCCAGCAGCAGGUAUCAGGGGUCUGUGCCAGACAGUGCCAUCACUGAGAGAGACAAGGACAAGACAAGAUCACAAGGACAUCUCAAGGAUUGGGGCUGUGAGGAAAACACGGGGCGGCGGGGGGGUUCCAGUGGUGGGACACAUUCAUCAGAAGAGGCCUCUGCCCACUCCACCCCUGCACUGGGAACAGUUGCUCGCUGGAGUUGGGGCUGGCAGAGUUUCAUGGCAACAGGCUAGAAGCCUGCUCAAAAUUUGUGACUGCCUCUUAGCUGAGGGCAGCAAGCUUCAGCCCAAGCUGCAGGGCAAAUCACCUUGUUACUUGUUCUAGCACAAGUGCAGGCACUGUCUUUACCACAUCUGGAGUGAAGGGAUGGUGCCAAAUCUGCUUCGGCUAGUGCAACAAUUGAAAAGGUGACAGGAAAGUGAGUCUCAGCAACAAAACAAGACAUUGCAACAACGGGCAAAGGGCAUAAAGGCAUUAAGUGGCUUAGCAGCAACAGAAGAGAAGAGCAAUCCGGAACAGAAAGAAAGAUUUAACCAGCUGAGAAAGCUCUUUCUUAGUGCUAAAGACAUGGAAGCAGGAAGAGACUUGUCAGAAGCCAAACCGAGUCUGGCUUUGCAAAGGAAGGGAAAACAAAGAGCAGUGGGCCUUUUUUCAGCCGUAUUCAUGAAAAGAGAAUACGGGCCAAUGAAGACAUGCAGCAAUGAGCACAGGGGUAAGACAGAGAGAAGCUCACCCAAGUGCACCAAAGUUUCCCUGUGUUUUGGCGAGGAGCAUGGGCAGGAAGGCAGGGUGGCUAUGAAUAUAAUGGUGUGGGAAUGGAAAUUGCUCUGUCUGAAAUGGAAGUGAAAUCUGGUAAUGGGACUGAACGAAGACCAAGGACUAGA